rnacentral:tRNA from 1 species
UCCCUGGUAGUCCAGUGUCUAAGACUCUGCACUCCCAGUGCAGGGGGGCCCUGGGUUCAAUUCCUGGUCAGGGAA